GACGAACGCUGGCGGCGUGCUUAACACAUGCAAGUCGAACGGUGAAGCGCCUUCCUUUUUGGUGGGUGUGGAUGAGUGGCGAACUGGUGAGUAACACGUGAGUAACCUGCCCCCUUCUUCUUGAUAACCGCAUGAAAGUGUGGCUAAUACGGGAUAUUCUGGGUCUGUCGCAUGAUUGGUCUGGGAAAGAUUUUGUUUCGGUUGUGGAUGGGCUCGCGGCGUAUUAGCUUGUUGGUGGGGUGAUGGCCUACCAAGGCGGCGAUGGGUAGCCGGCCUGAGAGGAGGAUCGGCGACACUAGAACGGAUAAACGGCCGAGACGACUACUGGGGGAAGCAGCAGGGAAGAAUACUGAACGGGGGGAGGAAGGAUGAAGCAACGACGCCGGGUGGAGGAAGGAGGCCUUAGGGUUGAGAACCUCUAUCGGGAAAGAAGAAGGGCGGAAUCGUCUGUGGGUGGGUUGACGGUAGCUAAAUAAGAAGCGCCGGCUAACUACGUG
rnacentral:rRNA from 1 species